ensembl:lncRNA
GCCACAUCCUCACCAACCACUUUGCGCUGAAAUUCAACUGGCUUGGCAGAGGAGGGAAGAAGCUGGCUUUUGCCUCCUACAAGGUGUGCAAUGCAGUAAGAGGUGCAUCGGCUAGCCAGAACAUUUUGGCCAGCGACUGCGAGGCAGUUAUUAAAAACUGGCUGAAGUGCAGCGGUGACCGGAGUGGAGGAAGAAAGAGGAGAGAAAGCAGAGUGCAUGAAGGUCCCCAGCAGUUCAGUCUUCCUCCUCCGAGUCCUUCCCCGGUCAUCCUGGAUCAUGAUACAACUAGCAGCGACAGUGACGACGACUGCAGCAGCCUGGAGUGACCCGCCUUCCGCCUGCACACCGACUCGGAUUUUAAUUCAUUUUUAAUUAAUUUAUUCUUCAUCUUAUUAUUAUUAUUAUUAUCAUUAUCAUUACAAGUAUUUAAUAAGUAUUUAAUAAAUGUUAACACUUUCC